GGACCCAUAGCUCAGUGGCGGAGAACCUGCUUUGCAUGCAGAAAGCCCUGGGUUCAAUCCCUGGGGGGCUCCA